rnacentral:rRNA from 1 species
CAUACGGGGCGCAGCAGUGGGGAAUAUUGGACAAUGGGGGGAACCCUGAUCCAGCGAUGCCGCGUGAGUGAAGAAGUAUUUCGGUAUGUAAAGCUCUAUCAGCAGGGAAGAAAAUGACGGUACCUGACUAAGAAGCCCCGGCUAACUACGUGCCAGCAGCCGGGGUAAUACGUAGGGGGCAAGCGUUAUCCGGAUUUACUGGGUGGAAAGGGAGCGUAGACGGCGAAUCAAGUCAGAAGUGAAAACCCAGGGCUCAACCUUGGGACUGCUUUUGAAACUGAGGAGCUAGAGUGCAGGAGAGGUAA